rnacentral:rRNA from 1 species
GAUGAACGCUAGCGGCAGGCCUAACACAUGCAAGUCGAGGGGUAGAGUUAGCUUGCUAACUUGAGACCGGCGCACGGGUGCGUAACGCGUAUGCAAUCUACCUUGUACAGAGGGAUAGCCCAGAGAAAUUUGGAUUAAUACCUCAUAGUAUCUUUACCUGGCAUCGGGUAAUUAUUAAAGUUCCAACGGUACAAGAUGAGCAUGCGUCCCAUUAGUUAGUUGGUAAGGUAACGGCUUACCAAGACAAUGAUGGGUAGGGGUCCUGAGAGGGAGAUCCCCCACACUGGUACUGAGACACGGACCAGACUCCUACGGGAGGCAGCAGUGAGGAAUAUUGGUCAAUGGACGCAAGUCUGAACCAGCCAUGCCGCGUGCAGGAAGACGGUCCUAUGGAUUGUAAACUGCUUUUAUACAGGAAGAAACAACUCUACGUGUAGAGUCUUGACGGUACUGUAGGAAUAAGGAUCGGCUAACUCCGUGCCAGCAGCCGCGGU